GCCUCCAAAAUCCAUAAUGUAGGCUUAGAGAAUGUUCUCAAGAACUUGAAUAAUCUGCUCUGACUGACCAUCGAUCUUCAGAUGAAAGGUUAUACUCAAUUCCACCGAGUGCCUAGCUUCUCUUAAAAUGCUCUCCAAAACCUUAAAGUAAACAUAAAACCAUGGUCUAAAAUGAUAGAAAUGGGCAUCCUAUGCAAAUGGACUUUCUCCCGAACAAAGAUAUGGGCUAAUCUCUCACCAACGAAAAUCAUCUGAAUCCUAAUAAAGUGUGCUGACUUGGUCAAAUUGUCUAUAAUGACCCAGAUACCAUCAAAACCAUGAGG
rnacentral:lncRNA from 1 species